rfam:Rozella allomycis CSF55 unplaced genomic scaffold scaffold_3181, whole genome shotgun sequence.
GGCUAGUUGGCGCAACUGGUAGCGCAAUCGACUCCAGAUCGAUAGGUUACAAGUUCGAGUCUUGUACUGGUCA